rnacentral:tRNA from 1 species
GAGUGUGUAGCUCAGUGUGGAGCACUAGCUUAGCAUCCCUGAGGCCCUGGGUUCCAUUCCCAGCACACCCC